AUCUGGCCUGGGAGCACUCUUGAUUUAAAAAAAAAAAGUGCAACCAGAUUGGAUGA
rnacentral:pre_miRNA from 1 species